GGCUCUUUGGCAUUGUGGUAAAGUUGUAGGUUUGGAACCCCAUAGACCCGGGUUCAAGGCCGGGUGGGGUGA